rnacentral:rRNA from 1 species
GAGUUUGAUCCUGGCUCAGGACGAACGCUGGCGGCGUGCCUAAUACAUGCAAGUCGAGCGGACAGACGGGAGCUUGCUCCCUGAAGUCAGCGGCGGGCGGGUGAGUAACACGUGGGCAACCUGCCUGUAAGACUGGGAUAACUCCGGGAAACCGGGGCUAAUACCGGAUAAUUCUUUCCCUCACAUGAGGGAAAGCUGAAAGAUGGUUUCGGCUAUCACUUACAGAUGGGCCCGCGGCGCAUUAGCUAGUUGGUGAGGUAACGGCUCACCAAGGCAACGAUGCGUAGCCGACCUGAGAGGGUGAUCGGCCACACUGGGACUGAGACACGGCCCAGACUCCUACGGGAGGCAGCAGUAGGGAAUCUUCCGCAAUGGACGAAAGUCUGACGGAGCAACGCCGCGUGAGUGAUGAAGGUUUCCGGAUCGUAAAACUCUGUUGUUAGGGAAGAACAAGUACCGGAGUAACUGCCGGUACCUUGACGGUACCUAACCAGAAAGCCACGGCUACUACGUGCCAGCAGCCGCGGUAAUACGUAGGUGGCAAGCGUUGUCCGGAAUUAUUGGGCGUAAAGCGCGCGCAGGCGGUUCCUUAAGUCUGAUGUGAAAGCCCCCGGCU